UACGAAGGGGGCUAGCGUUGUUCGGAAUUACUGGGCGUAAAGCGCACGUAGGCGGAUUUGUAAGUCAGGGGUGAAAUCCCGGAGCUCAACUUCGGAACUGCCUUUGAUACUGCAAGUCUCGAGUCCGGAAGAGGUGAGUGGAACUCCUAGUGUAGAGGUGAAAUUCGUAGAUAUUAGGAAGAACACCAGUGGCGAAGGCGGCUCACUGGUCCGGUACUGACGCUGAGGUGAGAAAGCGUGGGGAGCAAACAGG
rnacentral:rRNA from 1 species